rnacentral:tRNA from 1 species
GGGGAAUAGCUCAGUGGUAGAGCAGAAGUAGUAAGAAUAAGCUACUGGCAUACAAAAUUCUUAGAAGGUUUUCAGCAACUAUUAUCUAUUCACUGCUAAUGAAGAGUUGUCGGUUCGAAUCCGGCUUGGGUCUUCUGA